GUGAGGAAUAUUGCGAAAUGGAGGCAACUCUGACGCAGCCAUGCCGCGUGCAGGAAGAAGGCGCUACGCGUUGUAAACUGCUUUUAACCGGGAAGAAACCCCAGGACGUGUCCUGGGUUGACGGUACCGGAGGAAUAAGCACCGGCUAACUUCGUGCCAGCAGCCGCGGUAAUACGAAGGGUGCAAGCGUUAUCCGGAUUCAUUGGGUUUAAAGGGUGCGUAGGCGGAGCGUUAAGUCAGUGGUGAAAUCCUGCAGCUUAACUGUAGACUUGCCAUUGAUACUGGCGCUCUUGAGUGCGCUUGAAGUGGGCGGAAUGUGCCGUGUAGCGGUGAAAUGCUUAGAUAUGGCACAGAACACCAAUUGCGAAGGCAGCUCACUAAGGCGAUACUGACGCUGAGGCACGAAAGCGUGGGGAUCGAACAGGAUUAGAUACCCGGGUAGUCC
rnacentral:rRNA from 1 species